GAGGGCGUGGCGGAAUCGGUAGACGCAGCGGACUUAAAAUCCGCCGAUUGUAUAAAUCGUGAGGGUUCAAUUCCCUCCGCCCUCA
rnacentral:tRNA from 1 species